rnacentral:tRNA from 1 species
CCGACCUUAGCUCAGUUGGUAGAGCGGAGGACUGUAGUAUUGAUGCUGAAAUCCUUAGGUCGCUGGUUCGAAUCCGGCAGGUCGGA